UUAUCUCUCACCUGUACAUCAUCUACUUGGACUACAUGCGACGGAUCAUGAAUGUAUCUCCUCAACUGAGACACAUGAAAAACCUCAUGAAAAUUCGCAAGCGACGGCGGUAAAGCGAUACGAUAGGCUACCUCCCUAUCCUCUCCCAAAAUCUGAUAAGGACCAAUAAAUCGAGGUGUCAACUUUCUUCGACUUCAAAGCUCGACCAACACCAGUUAUCGGAGUAACACGAAGAAACACAUGAUCUCCCUCUUGGAACUCAAGUGACUUCC
rnacentral:lncRNA from 1 species